rnacentral:tRNA from 1 species
GGUGGCUCAGUGGUAGAGUGCUUGCUUUCCAUGCAUAAGGCUCUGAGUUCAAUUCCUCAGCACCA